CUGAUUUUAAGGUAAUAUCUCAGAAUUCACCUUGAAAAAUGUGCUAAAUGGAGCUGAGAGUACUACAGUCUUCUAAUUCAUCAUUUAAUUAACCAAAUAAAAAAAAUAGACUUGCAAGAAAGAGAGAACUAUUGCAGAGCUGCUUUCAUUUUAAAGCUUGUUUAUGUUUAAUGUUUGACUGAUGAUGUCACUUAAAGUUUGUCUUGUGACCUGCAGGCUUGCACGGGAGGUGGAUGUACCCUCAGUGACCCCAGCGUCGCCCACACUGAGGAGAGUUCACCGGAGGAAGUGCCUGCCCCCAACAUCCUGUCACUCUCCCCACAUUCCCUCAAUGUGUCCUGGACCCCCCCUUGCAAGCCCAACGGUGUGAUUA
ensembl:lncRNA